rnacentral:rRNA from 1 species
GAUGAACGCUGGCGGCGUGCCUAAUACAUGCAAGUCGAACGCUUUGUGGUUCAACUGAUUUGAAGAGCUUGCUCAGAUAUGACGAUGGACAUUGCAAAGAGUGGCGAACGGGUGAGUAACACGUGGGAAACCUACCUCUUAGCAGGGGAUAACAUUUGGAAACAGAUGCUAAUACCGUAUAAUAAUGACAACCGCAUGGUUGUUAUUUAAAAGAUGGUUCUGCUAUCACUAAGAGAUGGUCCCGCGGUGCAUUAGCUAGUUGGUAAGGUAAUGGCUUACCAAGGCGAUGAUGCAUAGCCGAGUUGAGAGACUGAUCGGCCACAAUGGGACUGAGACACGGCCCAUACUCCUACGGGAGGCAGCAGUAGGGAAUCUUCCACAAUGGGCGAAAGCCUGAUGGAGCAACGCCGCGUGUGUGAUGAAGGGUUUCGGCUCGUAAAACACUGUUGUAAGAGAAGAAUGACAUUGAGAGUAACUGUUCAAUGUGUGACGGUAUCUUACCAGAAAGGAACGGCUAAAUACGUGCCAGCAGCCGCGGUAAUACGUAUGUUCCAAGCGUUAUCCGGAUUUAUUGGGCGUAAAGCGAGCGCAGACGGUUAUUUAAGUCUGAAGUGAAAGCCCUCAGCUCAACUGAGGAAUUGCUUUGGAAACUGGAUGACUUGAGUGCAGUAGAGGAAAGUGGAACUCCAUGUGUAGCGGUGAAAUGCGUAGAUAUAUGGAAGAACACCAGUGGCGAAGGCGGCUUUCUGGACUGUAACUGACGUUGAGGCUCGAAAGUGUGGGUAGCAAACAGGAUUAGAUACCCUGGUAGUCCACACCGUAAACGAUGAGUGCUAGGUGUUUGAGGGUUUCCGCCCUUAAGUGCCGCAGCUAACGCAUUAAGCACUCCGCCUGGGGAGUACGACCGCAAGGUUGAAACUCAAAGGAAUUGACGGGGACCCGCACAAGCGGUGGAGCAUGUGGUUUAAUUCGAAGCAACGCGAAGAACCUUACCAGGUCUUGACAUCCCUUGACAACUCCAGAGAUGGAGCGUUCCCUUCGGGGACAAGGUGACAGGUGGUGCAUGGUUGUCGUCAGCUCGUGUCGUGAGAUGUUGGGUUAAGUCCCGCAACGAGCGCAACCCUUAUUACUAGUUGCCAGCAUUCAGUUGGGCACUCUAGUGAGACUGCCGGUGACAAACCGGGGGAAGGUGGGGAUGACGUCAAAUCAUCAUGCCCCUUAUGACCUGGGCUACACACGUGCUACAAUGGCGUAUACAACGAGUUGCCAACCCGCGAGGGUGAGCUAAUCUCUUAAAGUACGUCUCAGUUCGGAUUGUAGGCUGCAACUCGCCUACAUGAAGUCGGAAUCGCUAGUAAUCGCGGAUCAGCACGCCGCGGUGAAUACGUUCCCGGGUCU